rnacentral:rRNA from 1 species
UAAGGAAUAUUGGUCAAUGGACGCAAGUCUGAACCAGCCAUGCCGCGUGAAGGAUGAAGGUCCUCUGGAUUGUAAACUUCUUUUAUAGGGGGCGAAAAAGGUUUUUCUAAAUCACUUGACAGUACCCUAUGAAUAAGCACCGGCUAACUCCGUGCCAGCAGCCGCGGUAAUACGGAGGGUGCAAGCGUUAUCCGGAUUCACUGGGUUUAAAGGGUGCGUAGGCGGGUAGAUAAGUCAGAGGUGAAAUCCUGGAGCUUAACUCCAGAACUGCCUUUGAUACUAUCUAUCUUGAAUAUGGUGGAGGUAAGCGGAAUAUGUCAUGUAGCGGUGAAAUGCAUAGAUAUGACAUAGAACACCUAUUGCGAAGGCAGCUUACUACGCCUAUAUUGACGCUGAGGCACGAAAGCGUGGGGAUCAAACAGGAUUAGAUACCCUGGUAGUCCACGCCCUAAACGAUGAUUACUCGACGUAUGCGAUACACAGUAUGCGUCUGAGCGAAAGCAUUAAGUAAUCCACCUGGGAAGUACGACCGCAAGGUUG